AGUGAACGCUGGCGGUAGGCCUAACACAUGCCAGUCGAACGGCAGCACAGUAAGAGCUUGCUCUUACGGGUGGCGAGUGGCGGACGGGUGAGGAAUACAUCGGAAUCUACUUUUUCGUGGGGGAUAACGUAGGGAAACUUACGCUAAUACCGCAUACGACCUACGGGUGAAAGCAGGGGAUCUUCGGACCUUGCGCGAUUGAAUGAGCCGAUGUCGGAUUAGCUAGUUGGCGGGGUAAAGGCCCACCAAGGCGACGAUCCGUAGCUGGUCUGAGAGGAUGAUCAGCCACACUGGAACUGAGACACGGUCCAGACUCCUACGGGAGGCAGCAGUGGGGAAUAUUGGACAAUGGGCGCAAGCCUGAUCCAGCCAUACCGCGUGGGUGAAGAAGGCCUUCGGGUUGUAAAGCCCUUUUGUUGGGAAAGAAAAGCAGCAGGUUAAUACCCCGCUGUUCUGACGGUACCCAAAGAAUAAGCACCGGCUAACUACGUG
rnacentral:rRNA from 1 species